CCUUAGCCUUGGGGGACAUUAGAGGUGCAGAAAUCGACCCCAGUAAACCAGCUUGAAGGAUCAGCGCUUUGGGAGAGUCAGGGGAAAGGGAUUAAAGAACACAAGAAUCAAGUCACCAUGAUCAACAAGAGGUUUAGGAUGUUCAAAGCUCCUCUGGAAGAAUGCGAAACAUUGACCCUUGAAGACCUGAUCGAAUAUCUGUAUUUCCUGUAUAUUAGCCAGCCCCUUAUAUGUGAUCGUUGUAUCAUGCUCCUGAGGGAGCUGAAAAUACUGGAGCUUACACUGGCCCAGCAGAGGAAGACACAGGAAAGAUCAGAGAAGGGGGCAACCGGCAGUGGAGCAGAGUCCCAGGAGAAUAACAAAGGACCAGAAGGCCAACAGGAGUAAGACAGGAGCUCCCACAUGAGGCCGGGCACUCACAAGCCCCCUGCCUCCUAACCUGGGCUUCCUCACAGAGGCCUACAUUGGCCCUGAUGUAAUGGCAAACUAAAUAAAAAUAGCUGGUGAAAGUG